CAGGACUUACAGCCACCCAACUUGUCGGUGGCAACGGAAUAUAAUAUUUCAAGGCAAGAGUUUCUUUGUCUUCUCUGAAUCCAUCUCCUCCGGGACUCUUCACCACUGGCUGCUUGAACCCACGUGACUGAACCAUGUGAAUCAGCUCUCCGCCCCCUUCACCACCCCACCCCCAAACCAGGAUGCUGCAACUUGCGGUGAAUGAAGAGUGGCUGGUCAUGUGGUCUGGUCACCAUGGUGACGGAUCCCCGCAGACAAGAAGUACAUUGUGGAGAUGUUUCCAAACCAGGAAAAAGAGAGCAUACUUGUUCAUUUCGAUGACUGCAAAGAAUUUCAGUGCAUGGAGGUACCAUAAAUUAUUUAAACAGUUUCUUGUUGAUAGACAUCUAAAUUGUUUCCAUUUUUUAAAAUUACAAACACUGCUACGGAAUAUCUUUGAAGAAUGUCUUUAAACAAACACAUGUGCAAAAUGAGUCUGUGCUUUUGAUAACUAUGGUCAAUGGGCCGUGGGUAUGUGCCUUUGUAAUUUUGAUAAAUAUGGUUUAAUUAUCUUCCACAGAGACUGUACAAUUUAAUUCUUCUCCCAUUAACAGCACGAGUGUUAUUGAUCUUUUUUUUUAGU